rnacentral:rRNA from 1 species
GCCCACACAAGGCGAGACGAAGUUCUAUGGAACUGAAGGCCUAUACCCAACUGUACUGAACGACAGAACUCUACCGAGCAGCAGUAGGAAUUGUCAUUGGCGAGGCUGACAGCAUGCCGCGUGAGAGAGUCUAUGGGUGUAACUCUUUGUACGAGUAUAGUCUUGCGAGCGAUGAGAGUACGUACGAUAGCAUCGGCUAACUCCGUGCCAGCAGCCGCGGUAAUACGGAGGAUGCAAGCGUAUCCGGAUUUAUUGGGUUUAAAGGGUGCGCAGGCGGCGCGAUAAGUCAGCGGUGAAAGGUCCCGGCUCAACCGGGGAGCUGCCGUUGAUACUGUUGUGCUGGAGUGCGGACGGCGCCGGCGGAAUGUGUCAUGUAGCGGUGACAUGCUUAGAGAUGACACAGAACACCGAUCGCGAAGGCAGCUGGCGAGGCCGUUACUGACGCUGAGGCACGAAAGCGUGGGGAGCAAACAGGAUUAGAUACCCUGGUAGUCCACGCAGUAAACGAUGGGGACUUGUUGUCGGCGAUAGAGUGUCGGUGACAAAGCGAAAGCGAUAAGUCCCCCACCUGGGGAGUACGAUCGCAAGGUUGAAACUCAAAGGAAUUGACGGGGGCCCGCACAAGCGGAGGAGCAUGUGGUUUAAUUCGAUGAUACGCGAGGAACCUUACCUGGACUCAAAUGCAGCGUGACCGUUCCAGAAAUGGGACAUUCCUUCGGGACAGGCUGCAAGGUGCUGCAUGGUUGUCGUCAGCUCGUGCCGUGAGGUGUCAGGUUAAGUCCUAUAACGAGCGCAACCCCUACGUCCAGUUGCCAGCGGGUAAAGCCGGGGACUCUGGAGGGACUGCCGGCGCAAGCCGAGAGGAAGGUGGGGAUGACGUCAAAUCAGCACGGCCCUUACGUCCAGGGCGACACACGUGCUACAAUGGCCGGUACAGAGGGCAGCCACCACGCGAGUGGGAGCGAAUCUCGAAAGCCGGUCUCAGUUCGGAUCGGAGUCUGCAACCCGACUCCGUGAAGUUGGAUUCGCUAGUAAUCGCGCAUCAGCCAUGGCGCGGUGAAUACGUUCCCGGGCCUUGUACACACCGCCCGUCAAGCCAUGAAAGUCUGGGGUACCUGAAGUCCGUGACCGCGAGGAGCGGCCUAGGGUAAAACAGGUGAUUGGGGCUAAGUCGUAACAAGGUAGCCGUAAAUCACUGCCGUCGUAACUGCC